AGGAAUACUAUGCGGCAAACUGAGGGGCGGAGUUGCCGCAAAGAGAGACUUCUGCGCCGGUGCUAUCCAAUGCGUCAACCCCUCCACUUGUCCUCAAUCCCUUCGCAUGCGCAGGAAGAGGCUUGUGGUAGCUUUGCUGUCAGAUUGAGGGCUGGUUCCCUUGCUGAUAGCUGCUUGGGCUGAGGGGUGAGGAGCAUCCAGGCGCGAGAGGGUGUGGGAGACAGGGACUCGGAUUUCCCUGAUUGUAACAGGGAAAGCGACUGCGUGGCGGCGCGCUCGCGCGUGUGUGUGUGUUUGUGUGUGUGUGCGGAGCCCCAGGGACGCUGACUAUUGUUGCCGCUGCCUCCGCGGGACCUUAGCGUUCGUUGCCCCUACCCCCCCCACCCCCACCCCAGUCCCAGCCGUCUCUGCCGGACCUUAGCGUUCGCGGCCUCCCCUUGCCCGCUGCCUCUGUCGGACCUUGGCGCCCCCCCCCCCCCCACCUCCUCCAGUUUCCCUCGGUGCCCGCCACUUGUGCCAGACCUUAGGGUUACUGGCCCCCUCGGUGGCAGCCUCCUCUGCCCGGAUUUGGCGUUCGGGGCCCCCUGUUGCCGCCGCCUGCGCCGCGGCUUGGCGUUCGGGGGUCCAGUUGCCGCCUCCCGUGUCGGACUCUGUCAUUCUCGGACUCAUCGCAGCUGCGCCUCUUUGAGCCGCCGCCGGGCUCUGAGGUAAGGUCGUAACUUGGCUUUGCCGGACUAGAAAAGCAAGCGGGGGUUGGCCGUGGCUUGGAGGAUCUGAGCGGACUGAAUAGGGCCGAAUAUAGUGGGGCGGGGAGCGUCGGCGCUUUGGGCAGCCUUGGGGAGGAGAAGGAACAGUAGAAGUGACGCGGGGAAGGCUUGCUCCUCUGCGGCAGAGAAGGCUCUUCUGUAGUGGACAGAAUGUCUAAGAGAAAAGAGGACGAUUUCCUCCCAGCUACAUAUCAGAAAAAGGCAAGGCCAGGGCCAGAGGGGGAUUCAGAAGAGAGCCUGGAGAGAGGCUACUCUCAGAGUGUGUCUCAUGGAAGUUCUGCUUAUCGGUCAGAGUCACAGGAAGUUGGGAUCAUUGAAAGUAUCCAGCUGGAAAACUUUAUGGGCUAUGCCAAUCUUGGACCUGUGAAAUUCGGAUCUAAUGUCAAUUUUGUGGUGGGACACAGUGGGAAAAAUGCGUUGUUGAAAGCUCUCAUAGUUGGUCUUGGUGGAAAAUCGUUAGGAUCGUCUUUGAAAGAGUUUGUGAAAGAUGGAGAGGAGUCAGCUAACAUCUUGAUCACAAUAAAGAACAGAGGGGAAGAUGCUUUUAAAGCUGAGGUUUAUGGGGACUCGAUAACUGUGCACCAGCACAUCAGUGUGGAUGGGAGUGCAAGUUAUGAGCUAAUAAAUCAUUCAGGAAUCGUGGUUUCUUCUCAGAAAGAGGAUCUUAUUGCCAUUCUUGAACAUUUUAAGAUACAGGUGGAUAAUCCAGUAUCUAUUUUACCACACAAGGUGGGCAGGCAGAUAAUGAGGAUCAGAAAUGAAAAUGACAGAUACAAAUUGUUUAUGGAAGCAACUGAGCUUGAACAGAUGAGAGAAGGCUACGCUAAAAUUUUGGCGAGAAAGUUGAGAAGCCAGCAAGAAAUAGAACAAGGAGCAGAGCAGCUUGAGGAGCUCCGCCGUCAGGGUGUGGAGAUAGAAGAGCAUUUUCAGACGAUGGGUGCUUUGGAUCAGAGAUUAGAGAACUUAAAACAAGAGAAGACUUGGGCACUGGUGAAAGAAACUGAAAGAACAAUUAGUAAUAUGAUAAGUGAUAUAAAUGUUGAAGACCAACAUACUGUCAUAUUAAAUCACGACCUGGAGGUUUCCAGAGUCACGUAUAAUGAAACAUUACAGAGGUAUAUUGCCAUUCAUGAGAAUGUGGUAAAGUUAAAUGAAGAAGCUGCCAUCUUAGAGCCCAAAUACAGUGAGGCAAAAGAAAUUGCUAAGAGAACAGACAGGGCAUACCGUCAAGCAACAGCCUUCUAUAAUUAUUCCCAGACUGAACUGGCCAAAUUAGACAAAAUUUCAGAGCAGCUUCAUGACAAAAUUCUAGACUUAAGAAAGAAUCUGGAACUAGCAGAAUUAGAAAAACAGAAAAAAAUCUCCACAUUAAAGGAAAAGAUAAGUAACUAUAAGAAUCAAGAGGAUUCACUUGUUCAAGAAAUAAAAUAUCUUCAUCAGUCCAUAGAAAAAGAUGAUGAAGACCAUUCUAGAAUUAGAGAAGAAGAAACAUUUGUGCAGGAAAUACUGAAUGAGAAUCAAGAACAUCUAAAGCAUUUGAGAGACUAUAAAUCUGACCCACUAAAACGAUUUGGACCCCAGAUUCCAGCUCUUCUGGGAGCAAUAGAAGAGGCCUACAAACAAGGAUACUUUACUCGCAAGCCAUUAGGUCCACUAGGAGCUUGCAUUAAUCUCCGAUUCCCUGAAUAUGCUUUGGCUAUUGAGACCUGCCUAAAAGGCCUUCUUCUUGAUUUUUUUUGUGACAACUCCAAAGAUGAGCAAGUCCUUCAGGAGUUGCUGAAAAGGUUUUAUCCAACAACCUGUUCUGAUCGACCACAGGUAAUUGUGUCAUCCUUUCAGUGUGAGUUUUAUGAUGUGACAGACAGAGCAGCUUGUCACCCAGAGUAUCCAUCAGUUCUCUCAGCUUUAGAAAUUGAUGAAGCUGUGGUGGCCAAUACUUUGAUUGACUUGAGAAACAUAGAAUCGGUCCUGCUAAUUAAAAGUGAGUCUUUUCCUACUAUGUAUGCACAGGGACGCCCCAAGAACUGUAACAGAAUUCUGACUGUUUGUGGUGACCAUGUUUUUGAGGGACGCUAUUACACCCCUGAAGAAUUGAGACCUAUUUACUUAGGUGAUAUGGAAGGAGAAAUAAGCAUUUUGGAGAAAGAAGUGGAAAAUAAAAUGGCAAAGUUGUCAGAAUUUCAAGAACAAGUGUGUGCACUUCAAGAUGAUAUCAGGAAGAAUCGAGAAAUAAUUGAUAGUCAUUAUCGACAUUUAAGAGAAAUAAAAGGUAAUGUAAUAAAUCUCUCUUCAGAAAUAAGAGAUCUUGAAGAUGAAGAAGAAAACCAGUCAGUAGAUCUCUCGGUUCUGGAAGAUGAAGCUGAAGAAAUUAAAGAAGAAAUGAAAGAAGUUGAAAAAAAGAUAGAAACUCGAAGGGAAACCAUGGAGAAUUUAAAGCAACCAAAAAUAGAUGCUGAACAGAGACAUGAGGAAUUUAGGUUAAAAUGUAAUCAAGUUUCAGAAUUAGUAGAAUCCCUUAUGGAAGAACGAAACCAGACUGGUUUAGAAGUGACUGCUCAACACCAAUCUGUGUUGCAUUAUCAAAAUAGGCUCAGGCAGCAUAUAGAUUCUCUCCAAAUAGUAAAAAAUGAGCUGGCAAUGAAAGAGAAAGAACUUGAGAGGGAGAUUGCUCAGGCUAACUUCAUUUGUCCUGAACGCAUAGAAGUUACAAGAACCUCUGAUGUUCUUGACAGAGAAAUUGAUUUAUUAACCCAGAGGAUACAGUCAGAAAACUACACUAACAAAAAACGAGAAGACAUAACAAAGCAGUACCAGAUUGCAAAAGAAAAAUAUCUGGAUCUCAAUGGUAAAAUGAAUAAUUUGAAAAGCUUUAUUGAAACACUGGAUGAAAUACUGGAACAGAGAUAUGAUACAUACCAGAAAAGUAGAAAAAGUCUUUCUUUACAAUGCAAGUUGUUCUUUGACAACUUACUAUCUCAGUGGUCCUUCUGUGGAGAGAUGCGCUUUAAUCACAAGAAUGAGACUCUCUCUAUAACAGUCCAACCUGGAGAUGCUGCUUAUAGUGACAUGGGAGCCUUAUCAGCAAAUGGAACCUCUUUUACCAACUUUUUAUUCAUUCUUACUUUAUGGUCUGUCACAGAAUCUCCCUUCAGAUGUCUGGAUACAAUUGAUAUCUACAUGGACAGGAAAAGUAGAAAAAUUGCCAUGGACAUGAUCCUCUGGGUAUCACAUUUCUACCAAAACCACCAAGUCAUCCUGCUCAGUUCACAAUUCAUGACCGCUCUUCCUCAAAGUCCACUUGUUGAAAUACUCGAAAUGCCAGAUCUUGAAAGUGAUGAGCAAUCCCUGCCUGUGGAAUCAGCCAAUCCAAACCAAGAUUGAAUUUUUAUUUUCAUGUGAUUGUGCUAUCUACACAGUGUGGUGUUUUAUUUUAUUUUUCUUAAAAUGUUUGCAGUGUUGUGUUUAAAAAUCUCACUACUUUGAAAAAUAUAUUUAAUAUUUAAAAGUGUUUCAGAAAAGCAAAGUGACAGGAAAGAGUACAGUAUAAUUCCCCCAUCAGACCUCACCUACAAGAACUAGAAAACACACCAGACUGGAUUCUGACCUGAAAUCCAAGAAAAAGAAUUCUUUGGACAAUUGGGGUGGGGUCUUGGCCUUGUACCAUAGCAGCAUCUGGGGACUGAAAGAAAAAAAAAAAACUAGACAUCUGGGCAGGAAACACUAGUAAUGAGAGUAAAAUUGUUUUCUGUGACAUAACUGACUCUUUUAUUAGGCCACUGUUUGUGUUAAAGUAUUUUGAUGCUUGUUUUUCAAUGUUAAGAUAAAUAUAUGUAUAUUGUAAAUUGGUAAAUAGUGUGUGUGUGUGUGUGUGUGUGUGUGUAUGUGUUGAUAGACAACUGAUAAACAUAUGGAAUAUCCAUAUAUGACCACCAACCAGUGGAAAAACUUGUAAAAAAAAAAUCACCAUUUACUUUUAUUACCAGUGAUCAAUGAAAUUAUUUGGUAAAUUUGUUUAGCCACCAAUUAGAACUUGGGUAUAAUUAGCUCAUGCCCCAAACUGCCUGGCUCCAGUCUUCAACCUGCUUUUGGGUUAAGAUUAACCCUCGCUCCUGUGUUCCUUGUACUUGUGACUCCAUUCUCACAUCGUGUUUGCUUGAAGACAUUGCUGAUCAACUGACAAGGAUUUGUAGACUUGCCAGUCAACCACCUAUUUUGGAGACAUCAUUCACAAGCGAUCGGAGUCAUGCUUAUUGAUGUUCAAGUGCUGUGAUUUCAUCAUUGGUGCCUUCGUGACCCUAUUGCUGCUCAUCGUUGCUUAUUUCAUUGCACAUUCUUUCCUACGUAUCACCUCAGUACCUUUUUGCAGCCCCUUGCAACCAAGAAUGGCUUCAUUCUUUGGUUGCUUAUUUAAUAUCCAACUGUUCCUGUAAAUCACAGUUGUGACAAGCAGAAUACAUAAGGAUACAAAAUACUGCCAGCAUGACAGUGGGGACUGCCACCUUCUUAGAUACCCCAUUGAAAAAAGAGGGGUUACACACUUUAGAUUUGCCUGAGGCACAAGAAAUCCUCACCAAGAAGUCACCGUGAUCAUUUAAAUCUCAUCAAGAGGUGAUGCAGGCAAUCAAAGACUUUAGCCACACUUGGCCUAAAGAAAGACAUGAUGGACAUGAUAGUGAUUACCAGACUGAAAAUUGCAGGGCAUUGGUUUGAGUGGGAUAUUAUUAAGGUGUUCUCUUAUAUUCGUUCUUGGCUUGGUCUGCAGAGGACUUGCCAUGAGAGAACAUGGGACAAAUGGAAAGAUCUAUUGUCCUAAUAUUUUAAACAUAUUUUAAAAUGUAUUAAUGCUAUGUGUAAUAUUGAUGCUUAUGUGUACUAUAUGUUCUCACCCUAAGCAAUGAAAACAUUGAGUGUUGGGAAUCACAAUCAAUUAGUGAUAAUUAUACUACUUUGCAUAGACUAUCCUAGAUGACUGCAGGGAUAAUCAGCAGCCAAAGGGUGAAUGUAGUGAGAAUACAUUUGUUGCCUUGAUAUUUAACUGAUUCCAUUUUUAAUAGGUCUCUAUUUUGUGAUGAAGUGUUUAUAUGUUUGUUUUUUGUAACUUCUCUUUAAAUAUUAAGAUUAGCAUAUUAUUGUAGAGGUUGGUAAAUAAUAUGUUUGUGUUCAUAAAUAAUUGAUAAAUAUGUGUGACUUCCCUCCAUAUAGGACAAAACACCAACAGGAAAAUUUGGUAAAGAAACUCACCUUCCACUUCUGUA